GGGGAAUAUUGCGCAAUGGGGGAAACCCUGACGCAGCGACGCCGUGUGAGGGAAGAAGGCUUUCGGGUCGUAAACCUCUGUCGGGAAGGAAGAACCCCCCAGGUCCGAAUCGGGCCUGGGGCUGACGGUACUUCCCAAGGAAGCACCGGCUAACUGCGUGCCAGCAGCCGCGGUAAUACGGAGGGGGCAAGCGUUGUUCGGAGUCACUGGGCGUAAAGAGCUCGUAGGCGGCAGUGUAAGUCGGGAGUUAAAGGCAACAGCUUAACUGUUGUAAGGCUUUUGAAACUACAUUGCUAGAGUACCAGAGAGGUAAGCGGAAUUUCCUGUGUAGCGGUGAAAUGCGUAGAUAUAGGAAGGAACACCGGUUGCGAAGGCGGCUUACUGGCUGGUAACUGACGCUGAGGAGCGAAAGCGUGGGUAGCAAACA
rnacentral:rRNA from 1 species